CUAUCACAGACUAGGAUUUUUCUUAUAUAUUUAGGAAAUACAACAAUUGAUAUAUAACCAAAUAAUAUUUUUGUUUCAUUUACGCAAUAUAGCUUUACAAUAACAAGAGUUCAAGUAUCCCUUGGCUCUACAUAACUCUGCCACCACUCUUGUAGGCUAUUCCUCUCAUCUUUUUCAUAUUGCAUUUCUUUUUGAAUGCACAAACAAAUACGUGCAGUAACACAAAGUCAAAGCAUUAGUUCAACUCGACUGAUCUAUUCAAGAUUUGAUGCAUAUUGUCAUCAUUAUUUCUUCUCAUUAUGUCUUCCCUUCGUAAUCAUUAUUUAUGACAGUUGGAUUUUUCUGAACUAGUAUUUAUUCAUGUAUUCUUAAAACAGAAAUAAGAAGUCCCUGAUUUUAAUCUAAAUAUGAUAGUAUAUGCUAAACAACUGAUAGAAAAAAACAAUCUCUCAAGUGAAAUUCUGUUAUUUAUUUGAAGGGCCAUGCAACAAACCUUAAUGUUUAAAUGUACUUGAUAACUAGUUAGUCCUCAAAUAUUCUUCUUGUUCUUUGCUAGUUUGAACUGCAUGCAUGUAAUGAUGAGUAAUAAGUAGUAGUUUGUCACGUCGCACUUGGAUUUAUAACUCCAAAGAUGUGAAGAAAAAGAAAAGAAAUCUAAAGCUAUAAUCUUAGUGAAUUUUAGCCCAAGAUUUGGUUUCCAUUUACUACAAAGAAAAAGGACUUUUUUUCAGAGUCACUCAAACAAUACAAAAGAUCGUACCAUGUUUAGUUGUAGAUUUAAUGAAUGACUGGUGGCCAAAGAGGGACUGAAAAUCAGAGCCGAAAUUGCAGAGAUUACACUGAGUGUUUUGCUUUUGCUUUUGCUUUUGCCGUCUCUUCUAUUAAUAGGUUUAGUAUGUUAAUGAGAAUAUACUUACGUUGAGAUAUCCUCAGUAAACACUCAUUCCAACCUUCUGCCCUCCCACUACAUAUGUUGAGAUGAAUGUAAUUGUUUAAGUUUUUGAAAUAUAGGUUUUGGAUAGUUUUCAUAGAUAAGGAUCACUUACUAAGGCUUGUUGAAAAUAGGAGGCUAUAUAUAUAUUAUUUGUGGAAGAGAGCAUUAAUGAUUUAGAAGUUUGAUUGAUUUUGUAUGUUUUGUUUAUUGCUUAAUUACAAAUAAGGGGUGAUACCUCUAUUUAUACUAUACAAUGGAAUAAUCUAGAACACUUCAUUAUCUACUAGUAUCUAGAUAAUUCCUAAGUAUUAUCAUGAUAAUUCUAGACUUAGAUAUUUUACAAGAUUAUUCUACA
rnacentral:lncRNA from 1 species